AAAGUUUUGGUUUUUUUUGUGUUUAAUAAAAAAAACUAAUUUUAUUUUAUAUUGCAGUGCGUUUAUAAUGCAAUUAAAAUUAAAAAAUAUACCUUUUAUUUACAUUAAUAAAUAUCUAGAUGAUUACUUUAAAAACAAUAGUUCAUGUUGUAAUAUGUAAUUUUUUUUUUUUUAGAGAGUAAUUUUUUUUUUUUUUUUUGUUUAAAUUUAUUUUUAUACUAAUUAUAUAUCAUUUGAUUGAUUUAUUGUUAUUUCUUUAUUUUGCUCGAUUUUUCUGUUAUUUCUAGGAUUUGUGGUAUUUUCAUUUAUUAUUAUACAAGCUGUUUGAAUUAUAAUAUAUUCUACAUUUUUUUUUAAUUAAUCUAGCGUAAAAAUGAUGAAGAAUAAUAUUGAAAAUUCUUCUAAAAUAAAUAAUACUAAUUUAAUUAAAUCAAAAUAUAAAAAAAAAGCAAAUAUAUAUAGUAAAGGAUAUUUAUUUAAGAAGAAUAUAAAUGCAACAAGUUUAAAAAAAAAUUUUAAUAUAAAAAAAAUAAAUUUAUUUCGAUUUUUUAUAAAAAAUAGUAUUUUCAUUUAUUUAUUAAUAUUUAUAUUUCACUGCAAUCUGUUAAAUAACAAUUUUUACGAAGUAGAACAAGAAUCUUGUGACACACAAAAAAUGGAUAAAUCUUUUUCAAAAAAUAAUAGAAUGCUAGCGGAAAAUCUAGCAAAUUUAAGUAAAACAUACGAUACCAUGGAAAAAACGAUUGUGAAAAAAGUCGAAGGUAUAUAUGAGACAAACAGUAAAAAUGCUAUCACCAAAAUAAAAAGGGUUAUACAAAAAAUUGAUUUACUUGUUGAAAAAGAAAUAUUAAGAACGCUUAAAUAUAUGGAUACUGAAAUUCAUCAACCAAUUAAAAGUGGUAAACAGUUUAUAGAUAGUCUGAAAAAAUUUUUUAGUGGGUUAAAAAUAUUUUCUACACCUGUAUGUGCCACAAUUAGUACAAUAAUGAUAUAUCACUUUAAGUCACAUGUACUUAGUACAGUGGCAAUGCUCGGAAUAGCCUUAAUACCUUUAUUAACUACAUGGUAUGUAUUUUACAAAAUAUACAAAGUACGUAGUGAGUUGUCCAAAAGAAAAGGUAAAAAAUAAAUAUGAUGAUAAAAUGAAUUUACUUACAAAUCCAUUCAUAUAAUUAAUAAGAGCGACUUAAAAAAAUAAUUAACAAAUAUGCGAAUUCUAAUUAUAAUAACCAAAGUAUUGUAAAAACAUUGUACUAUAAUAAAAAUUUAAUAUAUAUAUAUAUAUAUAUAUGU
rnacentral:lncRNA from 1 species